GUGAUUUAUUACUUUUAACGCCUCGGCAUCAAAGAUGUGAUGCUUGAAGCUUGAUGCAACUAAAAUAUCAGUGGAAGAAAAAUGAAGAACAAUAAAUCAAACAUAAUUAAUAACUAAUGCAGUUCGCUUAUUGAUCACAAUGAAAAGGUCUAAACACCUUUUUAACCAUCAAGCCCAAAUCAUCCCCUCUUCACCAACAUUAACAAAGC
rnacentral:misc_RNA from 1 species